rfam:Picea glauca, whole genome shotgun sequence.
ACAUGCCUACAACAUAACAUUAAUGCAUCAAAUCGCAUUAGAAAUAUGCAGUUAAGUGCACUUAGGCUAGAGUAGUACUGGGAUGGGUGACCGCCCGAAAAUUCCUAGUGUUUUACAUGCC